AUUUAUAACAUACUCAUCCGUCUCAAAUUUUUUCAAUUUAAAUUUGACAAAUUGCACCUUAUACCUUGGGUCAAGAAUAGUAGCUAUGGACAAGAUAACAACAUAGUCGUUCCAAUAUUUGUCAAACUUUGGCAACAUCUCAUUUGCCAUGUUUCUAAUUACCUCAAUCUCACAAGACUUAUUAAACAUCAAAAGUUCUUUUAUCCUCAACACAUGUAAGAAA
rnacentral:lncRNA from 1 species